rnacentral:rRNA from 1 species
UACGUAGGGGGCUAGCGUUGUCCGGAUUUAUUGGGCGUAAAGAGCGUGUAGGCGGCCAUGUAGGUCCGGUGUGAAAACUCGAGGCUUAACCUCGAGAUGUCAUCGGAAACCAUUUGGCUAGAGUCCGGAAGAGGAGAGUGGAAUUCCUGGUGUAGCGGUGAAAUGCGCAGAUAUCAGGAGGAACACCGGUGGCGAAGGCGGCGUCCUGGACCAACACUGACACUGAUGAGCGAAAGCCAGGGGAGCAAACGGG